rnacentral:rRNA from 1 species
GAUGAACGCUAGCGGCAGGCCUAACACAUGCAAGUCGAGGGGCAUCAUGGCGUAGCAAUACGCUGAUGGCGACCGGCGCACGGGUGCGUAACGCGUAUGGAACCUACCCACCGCAGGGGGAUAACCCGCCGAAAGGCGGACUAAUACCCCAUGGUUCCCCGACCCUGCCUGGGGUUGGGGUAAAGCCUACGGGCGGCGGUGGAUGGCCCUGCGUGCCAUUAGCUGGCUGGGUGGGGUAACGGCCCACCAGGGCGACGAUGGCUAGGGGUCUGAGAGGACGAUCCCCCACACCUGGUACUGAGACACGGUCCAGACUCCUACGGGAGGCAGCAGUGAGGAAUAUUGCGCAAUGGGGGCAACCCUGACGCAGCAACGCCGCGUGAGUGAGGAAGUUUUCGGGACUGUAAAGCUCUGUCGAGCGGGAAGAAAUGUACCAUGGCUAAUAUCCAUGAUAUUUGACGGUACCGCUAGAGGAAGCACCGGCUAACUCCGUGCCAGCAGCCGG